CCAGCAUGGCAGUCACGCACGUAACACGUGCGAGUCAUAAUAUUCUUUUCUUUUCUUUGUUCUUCUUGGACUUAAAUAGUAAAAUUAAAAAAAAAGUAUUAACUACAUAUAUUUUUUUUAUAUACAAAAUAAUACGAACUCAGAGUCGCAGAGGUCUCAUGGAGCAGCCGAAGGGGCGUUCUCAUUUGUUGCCAAUUCAUCAUCCACGUAAGAAAAAGCUAAAAAGUUUAAAGGUGGGGGG
rnacentral:lncRNA from 1 species